GGAGCUGUAAAUUUAUAUUGGUAUUUCAGAGCGUUAUGUGUGCCGCCGCGUAACAUGCCGUUCCACCGAAAAACCCCUCUGGACGAAAUCGCACUGCAGAGGUCAGGGGUUCGAUUCCCCUCGGCUCCACCA
rnacentral:tRNA from 1 species